rnacentral:lncRNA from 1 species
GUUGUAAACUAUGAGAGUGGGAUAUGGAGUAGAUGUGGAAAUAAAUUUAAUAAGAAUAUGAAACAACUAACCGUCCCUAGAGCAAAUGAUAAAAGGUUUGGUGGUUGGUAUCCAAGGUCCCAAGUUCGAAUCCUAAUUGAUUCACAUUUUCAGCUAAGUUUAUUUCUAAAUAGAAUAAACGGAACGAGAAACGUACUACUUAUCUCUCUAAAAAAAAAAAAGAAAAAAGAAUAUGAAACAAAUAAUAUU